UGCUUGCUUCAGCAAUAAGCUAAAACUAAAACUAUACAGAAAAGAUUAGCAUGGCUCCUGUGCAAGGAUAACAGGCAAAUUCAUAAAGUGUUCCAUAUUUAA